rnacentral:rRNA from 1 species
AGCGAACGCUGGCGGCAGGCUUAACACAUGCAAGUCGAGCGGGCAUAGCAAUAUGUCAGCGGCAGACGGGUGAGUAACGCGUGGGAACGUACCUUCUGGUUCGGAACAACUGAGGGAAACUUCAGCUAAUACCGGAUAAGCCCUUACGGGGAAAGAUUUAUCGCCGAAAGAUCGGCCCGCGUCUGAUUAGCUAGUUGGUGAGGUAAUGGCUCACCAAGGCGACGAUCAGUAGCUGGUCUGAGAGGAUGAUCAGCCACAUUGGGACUGAGACACGGCCCAAACUCCUACGGGAGGCAGCAGUGGGGAAUAUUGGACAAUGGGCGCAAGCCUGAUCCAGCCAUGCCGCGUGAGUGAUGAAGGCCCUAGGGUUGUAAAGCUCUUUUGUGCGGGAAGAUAAUGACGGUACCGCAAGAAUAAGCCCCGGCUAACUACGUGCCAGCCGCCGCGGUAA